CGCAAAGGAAACCAGAACCGCAUCUCAUUUCUUCUAGCUGCAAUGGACGGAUAGCUUCAGCCGUAACAGCUUCACCAUUCCUUCUACAAAUUCACCAAAUCACUACCAAAACCUCCAUAGAUUCAACCAAAACUUCACAUACACUUAACUCUACACUUGGACAACACUUUAAGCUGAAAAAGGGAGGAGCUUCACGGUUUUCUUCAGGCUUCAAAGGGACCGAAAUUUUCUGAUUUGAACAACCAUCAAAGUAGGUAAUGAUCAACUACCUUAAACUUGUCUUAUGGAGGUUGAUUUAUGCAUUUGAGCUGAAAUCUUCACUUUAGGAGCUUGUAUUGUUGGAAAAAAAGUGGGCUAUAUGAAUUCCCACUCUUGGGUUGUUGCUGAUUUUGUACUUGAUGAAGUUUAUGAUAUCGGAUCAGUGUUUAAGUUAGUGAUUUGUUGAAGGAAAACUGCUGGAAACUCACGUUGAGUGCAAUGGCCAAGUUUGACCAUUUUUCCCCUGUUUGUUCGGCCACUUUACUGCAGAUAUUUGAGGAUUUAAUGGCUUCAUUGUGUUGUUUACAUGUUGUAGAAGUUGUGUACAAAAUUUCGUUGAAAAAUAUUGAGUUUUGGUUGAUCAAAAGAAUUUACUUUCCAAAGCUAGUGAUCUGGAAACGGUUGUCGUCGUAACCAGACCAGUGUUCGUGUUUCGUCCAUAACUCCAUACUCCGACGUCGAAAUCGAGUGCCGUUAGCGGCAUUUGAAACUAGACGUUCCCAUACUUCCAACUGUGUAUAAUGCACAUUCUGGUUCCAUGUGUGUGAACCGUACCAUUCAUCUGAAUUCAGUUGUCCUGUCUCUCCGUUCUGCCGAAAUGAUUUGAUGAUGCUGCAACUUUAGGCUUAAUUUCGAACCAGUUGCAUGCUGAAACAUGUAACGAUUUCUUCUGUGAAAUUUUAGCCCUGUGAAUUUAUUUUCUAACACUAUCAACCAUUCCCAAUUCCAAGUUAAAUUGAGGGAGUUAUGAUCAAAAUACGGCGACUGCCUCGUUUUUGAAAAUCUUAGAUUUGGACAGAUUGCCUUAAGGAUUUUUCCAAACUUUGGUUGAUUGAUUAACCAUCUUUCUGAGAUAGAGAUAUACCCUUCAUAUGGGAGUAUUAUACUACAAAAUUUGGUGUCAAUCCAAGUCCGUUUCGACACUUAAUAAAAGGUCCAAAGUCGGAACCAAAUCUGGAAAUUUUGUAAGAGUCUUGAAUAUUUCCCAACUUUGAGCUACCAUAUCUUGGUGCUCGAAACUCCGAUUCUCGAUCCACUUGUUCUGCUCUAAACCUUACUUGCACCUCUAAUGGAGCUACAAAUUUCAAGGGUUGGUUUGCAACAAGUGAAUUCUGCUGAAUUUUCAAAGUUAGCGAAAAACCAACCCCGGUUCAAUCCUGGGUGAUUUGGAACAGCAACUUUAAGCUCAUUUUUGAACACCUUCCACUUAGAUUCAUGGAAAAGUGUCUUCCAAGAACUUUUAGUACUUUGGAAGAGGUUUCCAACGGUACCAAGUUUUCCAAUUUUCGACAUGUGGAAUAUGAGAUACGAUUUUUUCAAAAUAUCGUAUCAAAACUGAAAUUUUCUGAAUUUCAAAGAAAUGGAGUUUUUCAAGUAUUCCUUAUUCCUUCGAUAAUACUUGAACGUUUAUGCUUGAUUUCCAAGAUAACAAAACUCGAUUGCUCUUGUACAUUAAGAAGCUCCACUUGAACCUCGAUUUACUAGUAAUUGAGGUUCAUUUUCAUGAAAUUUCCCCAGAUUAUACUAGUGCACAAUCUUCCUUGAUAAUUGGGAUGUGUGAAUGAUAAUUCACUAUUAAAUGCUCAGGCGCUCAAGAGGACCUUCCAGAGGAUUUCAUGGGAGACGCCUAAACCAUCAUUUGAACUC
rnacentral:lncRNA from 1 species